GAUGAACGCUGGCGGCGUGCCUAAUACAUGCAAGUCGAGCGAACGGACGAGAAGCUUGCUUCUCUGAUGUUAGCGGCGGACGGGUGAGUAACACGUGGAUAACCUACCUAUAAGACUGGGAUAACUUCGGGAAACCGGAGCUAAUACCGGAUAAUAUUUUGAACCGCAUGGUUCGAAAGUGAAAGACGGUCUUGCUGUCACUUAUAGAUGGAUCCGCGCUGCAUUAGCUAGUUGGUAAGGUAACGGCUUACCAAGGCAACGAUGCAUAGCCGACCUGAGAGGGUGAUCGGCCACACUGGAACUGAGACACGGUCCAGACUCCUACGGGAGGCAGCAGUAGGGAAUCUUCCGCAAUGGGCGAAAGCCUGACGGAGCAACGCCGCGUGAGUGAUGAAGGUCUUCGGAUCGUAAAACUCUGUUAUUAGGGAAGAACAGAUGUGUAAGUAACUGUGCACAUCUUGACGGUACCUAAUCAGAAAGCCACGGCUAACUACGUG
rnacentral:rRNA from 1 species